UCAGGUAAACAAGAGCGCAGGGCGGAUGCCUUGGCACUGGGCGCCGAUGAAGGACGCGAUAAGCUGCGAAAAGCUGCGGGGAGGAGCACAUAUCCGCUGAUCCGCAGAUGUCCGAAUGGGGCAACCCGCAUGAGCAGACCUCAUGCACCGCAGGCUGAAUCCAUAGGUCUGUGGAGGGAACCUCCUGAACUGAAACAUCUAAGUAGGGAGAGGAAAAGAAAACAAACGUGAUUCCGUCAGUAGCGGCGAGCGAACGCGGAAGAGCCUAAACCGGCUGGCUUGCCAGCCGGGGUUACGGACUGCAAAGAGAAUCCGAAGCGAACCGGAACGGUUUUGGGAAAGCCGGCCGGAGAGGGUGAAAGCCCCGUAAGGGAAAGCGGAAGGGUUCGGGCAGGAUCCAGAGUACCACGAGACACGGGAAACCUUGUGGGAAGUCGGGGGGACCACCCCCCAAGGCUAAAUACGACCCAGUGACCGAUAGCGGACAGUACCGUGAGGGAAAGGUGAAAAGUACCCCGGGAGGGGAGUGAAAGAGAACCUGAAACCCUGUGUUUACGACCGGCGGAAGCACCACGCUUGCAGGUGCGACCGCGUACUUUUUGUAGAACGGUCCGGCGAGUUGCGGGACGCGGCAAGGGAAAGGAUGAGGACAUCCGGACCCGGAGGGAAACCGAGCCUUAAGAGGGCGUCAGUCGCGUCACGCAGACCCGAAACCGGGUGAUCUACCCAUGGCCAGGAUGAAGGGGCCGUAAAAGGCCCUGGAGGUCCGAACGCACAUCCGUUGAAAAGGGUGGCGAUGAGCGGUGGGUAGGGGAGAAAUUCCAAUCGAACCCGGAGAUAGCUGGUUCUCCUCGAAAUAGCUUUAGGGCUAGCCUUCACCAAGUCUUGCGGAGGUAGAGCACUGAAUAUCCGCGGGGGCGUCAAAGCUUACCAAAGAUUAUCAAACUCCGAAUGCCGUGUAGACGAUGGUGGGGAGUCAGGCCGCAUGAGAUAAGUCGGGCGGCCAAAAGGGAAACAGCCCAGACCAGCAGCUAAGGCCCCAAAGUGCGUGUUAAGUGGUAAAGGAUGUGGGAUCUCGAAGACAACUAGGAUGUUGGCUCAGAAGCAGCCACGCAUUCAAAGAGUGCGUAAUAGCUCACUAGUCGAGAGGUCCUGCGCCGAAAAUGACCGGGGCUGAAACACGCCGCCGAAGCUCUGGGAUGGCGGAAGCCAUCGGUAGAGGAGCAUUGCCGCGGGGGCGAAGCAUGACCGACAAGGGCAUGUGGACCCGCGGGAAGAGAGAAUGCCGGAAUGAGUAGCGAGAUGAGGGCGGGAAUCCCUCAGGCCGAAUAUCCAAGGAUUCCAGGGUCAAGCUGAUCUGCCCUGGGUAAGUCGGGACCUAAGGCGAGGGCGGAAGCCGUAGCCGAUGGACGACAGGUGGAGAUUCCUGUACUGCGAUGCGACAGAACUGCAGGGACGCAUUUCCAAAGUCUGACCGCGGAUGGAAAACGCGGAGAAAGCGGGAAGGCGGGCAUGGGAUAAAAGACAUGCGGAACGCCAUUCCGUGAGACGACCGAACUUCAAGUAGGAGAGAGGGCGGAGGGAGUGCCGGGAAAAGCUGCUAUCGUUCGCACCGUACCCGUACCGUAAACCGACACAGGUGGAUGAGGAGAGAAUCCUAAGGCCGGCGGAAGAAGUAUUGUUAAGGAACUCGGCAAAAUGACCCCGUAACUUCGGGAGAAGGGGUGCCGUCCUCCGGGGCGGCCGCAGAGUCCAGGCCCAAGCAACUGUUUAGCAAAAACACAGGUCUAUGCAAAGCCGGAAGGCGACGUAUAUGGGCUGACGCCUGCCCGGUGCUGGAAGGUUACGAGGAGGGGUCAGCGAAAGCGAAGCCCUGAAUCCAAGCCCCAGUAAACGGCGGCCGUAACUAUAACGGUCCUAAGGUAGCGAAAUUCCUUGUCGGGCAAGUUCCGACCCGCACGAAAGGCGUA
rnacentral:rRNA from 1 species